rnacentral:rRNA from 1 species
GACGAACGCUGGCGGCGUGCUUAACACAUGCCAGUCGAACGAUGAACCGGUUUCGGCCGGGGAUUAGUGGCGAACGGGUGCGUAACACGUGGGCAAUCUGCCCUGCACUCUGGGAUAAGCCCGGGAAACUGGGUCUAAUACCGGAUACGACACUCCGAGGCAUCUUGGGGUGUGGAAAGUUCCGGCGGUGCAGGAUGAGCCCGCGGCCUAUCAGCUUGUUGGUGGGGUAAUGGCCUACCAAGGCGACGACGGGUAGCCGGCCUGAGAGGGUGACCGGCCACACUGGGACUGAGACACGGCCCAGACUCCUACGGGAGGCAGCAGUGGGGAAUAUUGCACAAUGGGCGAAAGCCUGAUGCAGCGACGCCGCGUGAGGGAUGACGGCCUUCGGGUUGUAAACCUCUUUCAGCAGGGAAGAAGCGAAAGUGACGGUACCUGCAGAAGAAGCACCGGCUAACUACGUG